rnacentral:misc_RNA from 1 species
CGCAUGAUCCAAGUCAGCACGGGGCACAACAGGCUUCCGUAAGGGACCAUUGUUUCGGACUUAAUAGGGACCAAGACCCUGACCGAUCACAUUUCCGCAUUCAAGAUUUCUGAUUGCACUUGGACAUCCGAUGCUUGCAAGACCAAAUGGAAAAACAAGGGCGGACAUCAAGUGAAGCUUUCAUUGGCUGUCUCGUACAAAUCAAGAAGCACGAGACAACAAAGGGACAGUGGGACUAUAAAAUUCCGUCAAAACAGGUACGUUGCACAGGGGGCAUAGGCAGCCAAAGGCAAAAUAAUUACCUUUCGGACAGAACUGAACAGGUAUGAACAAGCGGUUGUCGCUGCCAGGGCAGGGAUCCAACCAACCGGGACAUACC